UACGUAGGGUGCGAGCGUUAAUCGGAAUUACUGGGCGUAAAGCGUGCGCAGGCGGUUUUGUAAGUCAGAUGUGAAAUCCCCGGGCUUAACCUGGGAACUGCGUUUGAAACUACAAGGCUAGAGUGUAGCAGAGGGGGGUGGAAUUCCACGUGUAGCAGUGAAAUGCGUAGAGAUGUGGAGGAACACCGAUGGCGAAGGCAGCCCCCUGGGUUAACACUGACGCUCAGGCACGAAAGCGUGGGGAUCAAACAGG
rnacentral:rRNA from 1 species